AUUGAACGCUGGCGGCAGGCCUAACACAUGCAAGUCGAACGGUAACAGGAAGAAGCUUGCUUCUUUGCUGACGAGUGGCGGACGGGUGAGUAAUGUCUGGGAAACUGCCUGAUGGAGGGGGAUAACUACUGGAAACGGUAGCUAAUACCGCAUAACGUCGCAAGACCAAAAAGGGGGACCUUCGGGCCUCUUGCCAUCGGAUGUGCCCAGAUGGGAUUAGCUAGUAGGUGGGGUAACGGCUCACCUAGGCGACGAUCCCUCGCUGGUCUGAGAGGAUGACCAGCCACACUGGAACUGAGACACGGUCCAGACUCCUACGGGAGGCGGCAGUGGGGAAUAUUGCACAAUGGGCGCAAGCCUGAUGCAGCCAUGCCGCGUGUAUGAAGAAGGCCUUCGGGUUGUAAAGUACUUUCAGCGGGGAGGAAGGGAGUAAAGUUAAUACCUUUGCUCAUUGACGUUACCCGCAGAAGAAGCACCGGCUAACUCCGUG
rnacentral:rRNA from 1 species